CGGUAAAGUCCGUUCUGCGCAUAUAUUCUGCGCAUCAAAACAUUCCAUCAGUGGGGGAGCAACCUUUGGAAUGUUGUUAAUAUUUCGCCCCUUCCGAACUUUCUUGAAUUGAACCUCUAGUCUGUAUUCAUUUACAAGCAUAACGAACCAGAAAAGUGUUAAAAAUUCAGUAUAAUAUAUAUCUAAUCGUAUUUUACUGACUGUAGCACUGAGUUCAAAAUGUAAACAAAGCGUUUGUUUACAUUACGGACUUUACAUCACCUUUAAAUUCUU